UCCCAGCAGUCCAAGUCGCAGCCAUCAUUAUUGGGUCUAAAAUAUCCGUAGCUUGCUUGAAAAGUUCCUUGUGAAAUCCGGCAUCUUAAGUGUCGGGCGCGCAGGGAAUACUCUUGAGCUAGAGACAGGAAGACGUAAGAAGUACGUUUGAAGUAGCGGUAAAAUGUGUUAAUCUCAGACGGACUAACAACAGCGAAGGCAUCUUACGAGGACUGUUCUGACAGUUAAGGAUGAAGGCUAGGGGCGCAAAGUGG
rnacentral:rRNA from 1 species